AUACUUAGCUAGUAGGGUCAAUCAAUACUAUGGUCAUGAAGGUGGUUUUCUCAGGAUGAGUCUUCUCUAUUGUAUUUUAGAUAUCCUGACUCCUGCAAUUUCCCCAAAUGUGGGAAACUUGACUGUAACAUUUGUGGUAGUGAAGAGAACUAGUUCCAGGUUCUCCU
ensembl:snRNA U1 U1 spliceosomal RNA